UUGCCAGACUCCUACGGGAGGCAGCAGUGAGGAAUAUUGGUCAAUGGCCGGAAGGCUGAACCAGCCAAGCCGCGUGAAGGACGAAGGUGCCAAGCAUUGUAAACUUCUUUUGUCAAGGGACAAAAUCAGGCUCGAGAGCCUGACCGAGGGUACUUGAAGAAAAAGCAUCGGCUAACUCCGUGCCAGCAGCCGCGGUAAUACGGAGGAUGCGAGCGUUAUCCGGAUUUAUUGGGUUUAAAGGGAGCGUAGGUGGAUUGUUAAGUCAGUUGUGAAAGUUUGCGGCUCAACCGUAAAAUUGCAGUUAAAACUGGCAGUCUUGAGUACAGUAGAGGUGGGCGGAAUUCGUGGUGUAGCGGUGAAAUGCUUAGAUAUCACGAAGAACUCCGAUUGCGAAGGCAGCUCACUGGACUGCAACUGACACUGAUGCUCGAAAGUGUGGGUAUCAAACAGGAUUAGAUACCCCAGUA
rnacentral:rRNA from 1 species